rnacentral:rRNA from 1 species
GACGAACGCUGGCGGCGUGCUUAACACAUGCAAGUCGAACGGAAAGGCCCUGCUUUUGUGGGGUGCUCGAGUGGCGAACGGGUGAGUAACACGUGAGUAACCUGCCCUUGACUUUGGGAUAACUUCAGGAAACUGGGGCUAAUACCGGAUAGGAGCUCCUGCUGCAUGGCGGGGGUUGGAAAGUUUCGGCGGUUGGGGAUGGACUCGCGGCUUAUCAGCUUGUUGGCGGGGUAGUGGCUUACCAAGGCUUUGACGGGUAGCCGGCCUGAGAGGGUGACCGGCCACAUUGGGACUGAGAUACGGCCCAGACUCCUACGGGAGGCAGCAGUGGGGAAUAUUGCACAAUGGGCGGAAGCCUGAUGCAGCAACGCCGCGUGCGGGAUGACGGCCUUCGGGUUGUAAACCGCUUUCGCCUGUGACGAAGCGUGAGUGACGGUAAUGGGUAAAGAAGCACCGGCUAACCACGUG